GAGCGCAGGCGGUUUGAUAAGUCUGAAGUUAAAGGCUGUGGCUCAACCAUAGUUCGCUUUGGAAACUGUCAAACUUGAGUGCAGAAGGGGAGAGUGGAAUUCCAUGUGUAGCGGUGAAAUGCGUAGAUAUAUGGAGGAACACCGGUGGCGAAAGCGGCUCUCUGGUCUGUAACUGACGCUGAGGCUCGAAAGCGUGGGAGCGAACA
rnacentral:rRNA from 1 species